UGCCUAAUAGUAUAAGGGUAGUACAUCAGAUUUUGGUUCUGACUGUCUUGGUUCGAAUCCAGGUUGGGCAACAA
rnacentral:tRNA from 1 species